rnacentral:lncRNA from 1 species
GGCAAUAUCUGUAUUUAAACUCACAGUUUAUAUGUUGUAAUAAUAAAGUUGUAGUUAUUUCUGUACCAUGUAUUUGACAACUUAGAAUGGGUUGGGUGGAAUGGACCUAUUUUGGGGGCGUCACAAUAGAUGUACUGUUGAUUGGUAUGAUUAUAACCAGAAAUUAUGUAUCGGUAUAAUCAUGACCUGUAAUGUUACAGACAAAUGAUGUGGUGAAAGUUCUCAUUGGCCCAUAGUGUAUUGAUGGACAGUUGUUUGGCAUGAUCAUGACCACUGGUGAUACUAACGAAUAUCAUUGGCUCGUAAUACAUGAAUAAUUCGAUGAUGUGGAUUAUUUAUUGAGUUGUGUUACAGAGAUAAAAUAUUGAUGAUGAACUUUAAAAUUAUAGAAGAUAUUAGACAUCAUACUCUACUUGAGAAGUCACUCAGUUAUACUCAAUUAUUGCUACAGUAAUUGCUGCACAGUAUCUCACAUUAUUGAUUCUAUUAUUGUCAUAGUAUCAUCUGCACAAUAUUUUAUAUUAUUAAAUCAAUAUUUGAGAUGACAAGUUAUUCAUAUUAUUAUUUGCAUUAUUGACAAUGUCAAGAAAGUUCUGUCGAGUAAAGAGGUUUGGUCACUUAAUUGCGCGUCAAUAGGGAGAAAUCCUUAUCGAAAAGCCCCCUCUUUCCUAGGAAUGAUCUGGUUGUUAAUAUUACAAGUUAUAUUAUUGAUGAAUAAAUGUUGUUAAAAAUAUUGAGGGGAUUUUUUAUGAAGUAUUUGUUGUAAGUUUGACGUAUUAUUUGGACCCCCACUUACCCAUUUUUCAAAAUAGACGAG